UGCGAAGGGGGCUAGCGUUGCUCGGAAUCACUGGGCGUAAAGCGCACGUAGGCGGAUUCUUAAGUCAGGGGUGAAAUCCUGGAGCUCAACUCCAGAACUGCCUUUGAUACUGGGAGUCUCGAGUCCGGGAGAGGUGAGUGGAACUGCGAGUGUAGAGGUGAAAUUCGUAGAUAUUCGCAAGAACACCAGUGGCGAAGGCGGCUCACUGGCCCGGUACUGACGCUGAGGUGCGAAAGCGUGGGGAGCAAACAGG
rnacentral:rRNA from 1 species